rnacentral:tRNA from 1 species
GGGGUGGUAGCAUAAUGGUAAUGCAGCAGACUUUUAAUCUGUUGAUUGAUGGUUCGACUCCAUCUCAUCCCACCA